GGUACACGAGUGGCGAACGGGUGAGUAACACGUGAGUAACCUGCCCACAACUUUGGGAUAACGCUAGGAAACUGGGGCUAAUACCGGAUAGGAGCUCCUGCUGCAUGGUGGGGGUUGGAAAGUUUCGGCGGUUGGGGAUGGACUCGCGGCUUAUCAGCUUGUUGGUGGGGUAGUGGCUUACCAAGGCUUUGACGGGUAGCCGGCCUGAGAGGGUGACCGGCCACAUUGGGACUGAGAUACGGCCCAG
rnacentral:rRNA from 1 species